rnacentral:lncRNA from 1 species
CUGAGUCACUGUGAUAGUUAAUCUUAUGUAUCCACUUAACUGGGUCACAAGAUGCCCAGCUAUUUGGUCAAACAUUAUUCUGAGUGUUCCUGUGAGGGUGUUUCUCAAUGACAUUAACAUUCAAAUCAGUAGACUGAGUAAUGCAGACUGUCCUCCCAAAUGUGGGCGGGCCUUGCUGAAUCAGUUGAAGGCCUGAAUAGAACAAAAGAGCUAACUCUGCCCUAAGAGAAUUCUUCCUGCCUAAUAGCCUUUGGACAGGACCAUCAGCUUUUUCCUUGCCUUCGGACUUGAAUUAAACAUCAUCUCUUCCUUGGCGUCAAGCCUGCUGCCAUCAGACUGGAACUAAACCAUCAGCUCUCAUGGGACUCCAUCUUGCUGACUUAUCCUGCAGAUCUUGGGAUUUAACCGCCUCCAUAAUCACGAAUCCUCCCUCCAGGUCACUGGGAGCUUCAAUUCCUUAGAAGAAAGAAAGAGAUGACUCCUGCUUCAUAGUCCAGGAAAAUCCC